UGUAUUUGUGCGUGAGAUAUUUGUGUUUGAAAAUUAAAAACUUAUGGAAUGGAUGCCGAACUUGAGGAUUUGGAAUGUAUCAUCUUAGAACACUUCAAUGGUCGUACCCCGGCGAAUACCUCCGUUAUCAUGGCGAAGACAUGCAGCGACGGUGAAAAAACCUCUUUGUGUUAAUUGAAGAACCCAGGUUUCCUCUUCACGAACAUCGGCAGUCUAGUGCUGCUGCUCGCUCCUGAAUUAUCUGCAGCACGCCACGGCGCGACUACUUGCGUGAUAACGUGCGACCUCUAUUAACAGCUCGGGGCCAGGAAGGCUUCGCGUAUAAACCUGGAGGUUUCUUCGAAGAUUCAGACAGUGAAUCCUGUUCACCAAUCUCGGAAGAAAAAAAAACACAGACACCGUAAUGAAAAGGGUCAACAAGAAAAGGAAAUGUGACUGCCAUGAUGAACUUCUGGCAAUUGAGCGAAGGAAAAUGGAAUUAUUGGAAGAACUAGUUCAUUUAAAAAGAGAGUCACUCCGUUUUAAAAAGCUUAAGCAUUCAACUACAAAUGUAUAUGAAUAUUAGCUCGACUAUUAAUGAAAUGGUCAGGGCUGCACUUCUCACCAAAAUGUUGGCAUCUGAAUAUUGUUCAGGUUAAAGUCAUUUUUAUGCCCCCAUUCGAAGAAGAGAGCAUAUUGUUUUGCACAUGUCUGUCGGUUGGUCUGUCCGUCGGUCCGUCUAUCCACCAGAUGAUAUCCGUAUGAUAACUGAAGAACAAUUAUUCCUUAUAUCAUGAAACUUCAUAGGUACAUUGAUCAUGACUGGCAGAUGACCCGCAUUGAUUUUCAGGUCACUAGGUCAAAGGUAAAUGUCACAGUGACUAGAAACAGUAAAAUGGUUUCUUGAUGAUAACUCAAGAAUGCUUACGCAUAGGAUCAUGAAUCUUCAUAGGUACAUUGAUCAUGACUGGCAGAUAACCCCUUUUGAUUUUCAGGUCACUAGGUUAAAGGUCAUGGUCACAGUGACUUGAAACAGUAGAACUGUUUCCGGAUGAUAGAUCAAGAAUGUUUUCGCCUAGGAUCAUGAACCUUCAUAGGUACAUUGAUAUUAUUACUGGCUGAUGACCACUUUUUAUUUUGCAAGUCAAAGGUCAAGGUCACAGUGACUCAAAACAUUAAAAUGGUUUCCGGGUGAUAACUCAAAAAUACUUAGGCAUAGGAUCAUUAAACUUCAAAGGUACAUGUAUCAUGACUAAAUGAUGACUCCUGAUUUUCAGGUCACUAGCUUAACGGUCAACUUCACAGUGACAAAAAAAAUGUAUUUACACAUUGGCACUAACUACAACCGACAGCCCAGAUUUAGGGUAUGUAUGUUAUACAAACAGCCCUUGUUUUCAGGUGACAACAGAAAUCAAAGAUGACCAAUAGUCGAGCCCGCUGUGUUAAACAACUUUUGUUAAGUUUAUGUGUUACAUUCCUUUAAACCUUUUAAUAUUAUAAUUUAUAUUUCUAAACAUUGAUAAUUUUUCCUUAUAUAAAACCAACAAGAUGAACAUGAUGAAAAAUUGACAAUAUAUGUUUAUUUUUGUUAGAACCUAUUGGUCAAUAUCGAUGUAUGCACAUCAAUAAAUGAGAUCAACAAAGCUGAUCUCAUUUAUUGAUGUGCAUGCAACCAUAUUGAACAAUAGUCAGUUUAUUAAAUUAUAAUUAUUAUUAUAAUUUUAUCACAGUAUAUAUCUGUAAAAAAUGCUUCAUAAGUUAUCAACAGAUUAUACAAUGAAAUGACUGAUUAUACAAUGAACUGAAUAAAAGUGAUUUCGUUA